rnacentral:lncRNA from 1 species
AAAAAAAAAAAAAAAAAAAAAAAGACUUUUCUCUCAUUCAACACUUUACCAGCAUCUACUGACAGAAAAUGGACAAUUGAAUUUCCUCCAAUAUAUAUACCUCUGAUAUGUCUGCUUUGUAAAAGAGUAGUGUAAUUGCUUACAACAUUGAAAAGGUUGUUAUUGGGGUCCUGGGGUAGCCAGGAUAUCGGCAUGAUUUGUCACCAUAUUCAGAAUAAAACUGUACUGCAAUAGUGAGUUAAUUCCAUAUCUUGGCCAACAGAGAAUUUUUGGCCAGUGGCUACUAAGGCACACGGAAGUCCAGUCUAAAAGGGACAGGGGAGGACUCUUUGUAGAUAGUUCUUAUGAUUAAAAAAUAACUUCCUAUGUGUUGUAGUGAUGAUUAAGCUGACAGAAUGCUAAAGACACCCUUAAUGAUUACUUGUAGCAAAGUACUUCCCCACAUUUAGCUGGAUUUGUCUUUGGUUUGAAGAGGCUAAUACGUGAAAGAUUUGUUCACAGUUGGAUGUCCCCUUUUCUGAACCAUGAAGUAAUAUUGUGAAUGGAGUUGAAUGCUGAGGUUAGGGUGCCGGAAAGAUUCAGGGUCCUUCGGUACCCUCACAUGGCUUGGCUUUGGUAGAACAAGAAACUAAGCUCUGAUUUGGCUUUAAAUGAGAGUGCUAAAUUUCCUUUUUCUAAUAAAGAACCUAGCUAAACAUUUAUAUAUACUUUUGAACACUGAACUUUCUUGUUGCAGAGUUAACAGCUGUUGGGGGUAGCUGACAGCUGGAUCCUGGUGCUGUUGGUACCAUGGUACCUGAAGUGCACAGGCUGGUAGCCACACCUGACAUUAACAAGUGAGUGGUAACCUCUCUGCCGCUGGCUUACAGCUACUGUUUCCAUAGAAAUGGCUGUCGGGAUCAGUGGAAACGAGAUGGAUGCACCCAAGCCCUAGCCCUAAGUAUUCUCCACCCAUAUGAGACAGCAUUGAUGGUGCCACAGAGCAAAGGAGAGCCACUGUUCCUGCCCUGGUGUGUGAGAUGAGAGGCAUGGAAUGAGGUGUUGGUUUUAAGCCCUUACUGAUACCAUUUAUUAAAGAGAUUUUCUCUGGAAAAAACAAAACAGCUUUGAUAUUCAGAGCUGUAUUUUUGAGACUCAAAUGAACAUAAAGAUCCACGGUCUUAUGAGAACUUAGAUCGGCUGCUAGAA